rnacentral:lncRNA from 1 species
GUGGUUUUGCUUUUGAUUUUAAUGCUUGGGCUGCCCCAGGUGUAUAUGUGAGAGUAUUUCUCGGAAGACACUGGCCUGUGAGUGGGUGAACUGAGUGGAGAAGCUCCACCCUCAAUGCAGGCAGGCACCAUUUAAUCAGCUGGGGGCCUGGAGAGAAAAGGCAGAGGAAGGGCAAAUUAUUUUUCUCUUUCUUUUGGAGCCAGGAUGUUUUUCUCCUUCCAUUGGAUGUCAGAAAGCUAGGUUCUCCAGCUUUUGGACUCUGGGAUUUGCACCAGAGCCUGCCCCCGGCAACCCCGACUCAGGCUUUUGGCCUUGAAAUGAGUUAUGCCAUCAGCUUAUUUAUUUGUAAGGCCUUCGGACUUGAACUGUGCCACAUCCUCAGCUUUCCAGAUUCUCCAGUUCGGACGACCCUUUGUGGAACUUCUCAGCCUCCAUGAUCAUAUAAGUCGACAUUUUCACUGGACCGAUUGGACUGAAAAGGCAAGAUUGAAUGAGGUUUUGGUAUCAGGAUGAUGCUGGCCUAAUAGACUGAGAUACAAAGGAGUCCUUCCUCCUCCAUUUUGUGGAAUAAUUUCAGUAGGAAUGGAUAAACAGUAUUGCUGCUCUGAAGACAGCUUGAGUAACACUGUUCUUGGACAUUGAUGGGCUUGUCUAAUUAAGUAAAGACUUCUGAAGAUGAUAGAGGUCUGCCUUCUGAAGCCCCUUUGGCUAUGAACCAGAA